UGACUUUAUAUUGUACAGUCGGGAGGUAACCCUGAGCCCAAGUUCUCUGAGAUGUGGCCCUUGCCGUUCUUCCUUUCACUCACAUGUCCAAGGUUCAGGACACUUUAUUUUUCUUUCAAUAAAGGAGCAUUUGGGUGAUGGCUGUCUGAGUUAUCAGACACUUCUGACUGAAGUGUGUUCUCUUUUUCAAAGAGGCAGUACCCAGCCACAUAACCAUAGGCAAGAGGACAGAAUUAGAAGCCAUUUUCUGGUCUGGAAACAUACCCUGGAUUGUUAAUAUUUUCUUCUUUUCAUCUCUGUCAAUGCAGGCUCAAUGAGUCAUACAGGCACUCUUGAGCAUUUUGCAGAUACCCAGUCACAAGUUGUAUAUUGCCUUUUGUGCUUAAGCUGUUUAACAAAACACUAUCAUGUUCACUAUCAGGUAGAAUUCCUAUGCCCCUCCUUCCCAUGGCUUAUGUGGGUUGGGGGUAGCAGAAGUGAUGGAAGCUGUCUAAGGAGUGGGGUGGGAAGGACCUUGGCCUCUUUCUGUGUUUAUAACUGGAUCUGUGAUUCAUCCUGUGAGUCACUCAGCUCCACCUUCCUCCUCUAGCUACCCCUCCCAGCAGCCCUUGCUCUUGGCACAAACCUGUAACCAGAGCGGGGGUCUGAAAAUGGAAACAUUUGAUAUAGCUCCUUGCCUCCCUGUCCCCUUCCCAUGCAGUGGACAUCUGGGUUCGUGCGGCAGCUGGUGAGUCUUCCUGUUACCUAGUUCUCAGCUGCAGCCCCUGGUUAGGUGAUGAUCAAACCACUUACCUCCGUUCUGACCAUUCCCUCUAUAUUCUCCGUUCCCACACCUCAAGACACUAAAGAACAGAAGGAGGCUCUUAGAAGAAAAGUAGUGGAGAGAAGAAAAGUACUAAUUUCCUUACAUACUUUAUUCCAGAAGACACUGAGGUGUGUGGUGGGGUGGUGGUGGUCAGCAGCCUUUAGGACUUCUACAAUCAGGCUUCUAGGCCUGCUUGCUAGCAAGUACAUACCUGUUUGUUCCAGACUCUGCUCAUGCUAGCUUCACUAUUUCCACAGUUGCAGCCAACAAAGGGAACUUUGGAAGCUGAGGCUGGAAGGAUGUGUGCUGUGGGGAAGGGGGUGUUGUUGAAUGUCAUGGCGCCCACCUAAGGACUGCUGCCUCUGUACAGACUCAAAAACAAUAAAACAGCAGCUCAUUAACACCU
rnacentral:lncRNA from 1 species